UUAAGUUCAGCGGGUAUUCCUACCUGAUCCGAGGUCAACCUUAUAAGUAAAAAAAGGGUUAGACCGGCCCGGGGGGACCUUGAAACUCGGCGCGUGCUCCUGAAAGCUCGUUGCACCGAGGGUCCCGCGGACGCCGUCAUUGUCUUUGAGGCCCAGUUCCUUCGCAGGAACGCGGGCCCAACACCAAACACGGGGUUUGA
rnacentral:misc_RNA from 1 species